rnacentral:rRNA from 1 species
UACGUAGGGGGCAAGCGUUGUCCGGAUUUAUUGGGCGUAAAGAGCGUGUAGGCGGCCAGACAGGUCCGUUGUGAAAACUAGAGGCUUAACCUCUAGACGUCGAUGGAAACCGUUUGGCUAGAGUCCGGAAGAGGAGAAUGGAAUUCCUGGUGUAGCGGUGAGAUGCGCAGAUAUCAGGAAGAACACCCGUGGCUAAGGCGGUUCUCUAGUACGGUACUGACGCUGAGACGCGAAAGCGUGGGGAGCGAACAGG